ACCGCCGUCUCGUGCUCCCUGCUCUCCUCCCCGCCGCCGACCCACCUCUCCUCCUCCCUGCCAUCCCCAUCCCCGGCUCCUCCUCCUUCCUCCUCCCCGCCGCCGACGCAGCAACCGAGCUCGGCGCCGGCGCCAUGCGGGCCGUCCUCCUCUUUUUCCCCUCCUCCUUCCCAACACGCAGCGCGCCCCCGUACGCACGGCGCGGCACGGUCCUCCACCACCGCUAAACCCUUCCGAAAGAAUCCCCAAAUCUCGCACGCCCCGAAGCCUUCGACGCCCGAAACCCUAGCACCUCGGCCGCCCCGCCGCCGCGCUCCCAUGGCUCCAGGACUCCAGCGCUUCUCCUACAUUGCCGGCGACGGAGCGCCCCGCCUCGACGCCGCCUCCGGCGAGGAGCUGGUCCGGCUGGACCGCGCCGCGUCCGUCGCCCUCUGCCGCCGCUCGCCGGAGCUGCCGGGGACCUUGUUCGUCACCACAAGGAAGUGAAGCUCGGCUUGCACGAGUACAUCUCCAGCACUUUUUCCGACGGUUGAUGUUUCGCUAACCGUUGGCUUGCUCACCUCAACUAGGAGGUUGAUUUGGCUCAGCGAGGCGGAGAAGGGCAAGGGCUACGCCGUGGACUUCCUCGCCAUCUCGCUCCACGCUGCGUCGCGCGACCUGGAGGCGUAUCCCUCGCCCUGCCUCUACACGCAGAUUGAGGCAGAAGUUGCCACAGACGAGGAGGCUGUCGAAUCAAAUCCUGAAGCAAAUGAUGAAUUAGACCUAUCAAGAGUCACUGAACUGCGCAUUAUACUGGGGGACCCUGGUCAACGUAUCCUUUUAAAUUACGGGCGACCUUGGCUUCUCCCCAUCCUUCCGCUGCGACGACACUCUCCUCACUGCAGCAUGGUUAGCCUUCUGCAGAAGGAAUCUUAAUGAUGCAAGGGGUAUUUCUUUUUAGGGGUCUAGAGUGCCUUUACAUGCAUACAAGCGGCUUUGGGAUGCUCUAAUAGAUUUGCAAGAGCAACUAUUGACUGCCUAGUUGCAAUUACACAUAUUUGAUAAGAUGUCAGGGCCAAGCCAAUUCAACUCCUUUACUUCUAAGUUCUAUCCUUCCCUGGUAAGAGGUUCUUGCUGUUCAUGUGUUGCCUGUGUUAAGCAAGGUUCAAAUUUAAUGCUAUUUGAGAUGACAUGACAUGGACCUUGACUGCUGAGAAAUUUUCUUUUGAGAAAUGCAUCUACAUGUUGCCGAUUGCUGUUCUACCACAAGCUCUAAUUGGCGAAAGCAAAUUUCAUAUACGAAAGAGAAGCCACAGCUCAGACUUACACAGUUCACAGCAGAUUUUUCUUUCAUAUGGACUAUUGGAAUAUAACUAACCAAAUGGAAUAUGGUGAAGUUGGUGCACUUUAUCCUUCUCAUCACAGAUGAAUCAAAGCAACGAAAAAAGACUAUCAUUCUACUGUGUUUGAAAGACUUGACGGUGCCCUGCCCCUCCUGCACCUACAACGCUGCAUCUGUACCUGGCAGCCUCCAAUUUUGACUGCCCUACCUUCUUUUCCCAUCAAGUUGGUGUGAACACAAGCCACCGAAGCAAGAAACUAUAACUCUGCAGCUGUACCUGGCAGCCUCCAAUUUUGACUGCCUUACCUUCUUUUCCCAUCAAGUUGGUGUGAACACAAGCCACCGAAGCAAGAAACUAUCAACCGCCACCGCCAGUGCUACAUGCCACUCCAGGUCUUUGGGUAACAAUUUCAUCUGGUACAUUAUUUUGGAUCAUGCUGUUUAGCAUCCUCAUGCCAGGCAUAAAGGGCACAGUGCAGCUAAGAUUCCAAACUUCGUUCCUUGUCUACAUAUUGACCCCAUUGGCCAUUCAGUUUGCUAAGGGCGUCGAAUUAGGGUGGUGCAGAUUUAAGCCUACAGUGCUGGUUUUCUUGGGUCAGCAAGUGCUUCCAGAAACAAUAACAGGCACCAACUGAAUCUCCCCAGACGAAGGAAGCAGUUACUAUAAUAGCUCACUCCUAGAUCAGAUGAAGCUGAUUAGGUUAACCCAGGUUUAGGUGUUGAUGAUGUCAUUCUCUUAAGCGACGUUUGGUAGCAGUUGGAAGCAGUUAGCUUUAGAGAAUAUUAGGCCUUUAAGCAUGUACAGCAAGUGUGCUACUGUACCCCUUGCAACUCCGUAGUUUAUGUACUAUCUAUCCAAAUAUGAAUCUUUCUGAACUAUGGUGUGUAAUGUUUUUACCCGCCUUUAUUACUUUAGAUGGCUUCAAUUUUCUACUA